UUACAAUGAAGAGUUUGAUCCUGGCUCAGGAUGAACGCUAGCUACAGGCUUAACACAUGCAAGUCGAGGGGCAGCAGAUCGAAAGCUUGCUUUUGAUGCUGGCGACCGGCGCACGGGUGAGUAACGCGUAUCCAACCUUCCCUAUAGUAGAGAAUAGCCCGGCGAAAGUCGAAUUAAUGCUCUAUGUUGUAUUUAGAAGACAUCUGAAGAAUACCAAAGGUUUACCGCUAUAGGAUGGGGAUGCGUCUGAUUAGGUAGUAGGCGGGGU
rnacentral:rRNA from 1 species